rnacentral:rRNA from 1 species
UACGGAGGGUGCAAGCGUUGUCCGGAAUCACUGGGCGUAAAGAGCGUGUAGGCGGUCAGGUAGGUCCGUUGUGAAAACUCGAGGCUCAACCUCGAGACGCCGAUGGAAACCAUCUGACUAGAGUCCGGAAGAGGAGAGUGGAAUUCCUGGUGUAGCGGUGAAAUGCGCAGAUAUCAGGAAGAACACCCGUGGCUAAGGCGGCUCUCUAGUACGGUACUGACGCUGAGACGCGAAAGCGUGGGGAGCGAACAGG